rnacentral:rRNA from 1 species
UACGUAGGGUGCAAGCGUUAAUCGGAAUUACUGGGCGUAAAGCGUGCGCAGGCGGUUUGCUAAGAGAGAUGUGAAAUCCCCGGGCUCAACCUGGGAAUGGCAUUGGAAACUGGCGGACUCGAGUGUGGCAGAGGGGGGGUGGAAUUCCGCGGUGUAGCAGUGAAAUGCGUAGAGAUGCGGAGGAACACCGAUGGCGAAGGCAGCCCCCUGGGCUAACACUGACGCUCAGGCACGAAAGCGUGGGGAGCAA